ACCAAGGAGUCUAACAUGUGCGCGAGCCGCGGGGCAGUACGAAACCCGUAAGGCGAAAUGAAGGUGAACGCCGGCGCGGUCCGGCGGAGGUUGGAUCCCGUCCCGUCGGGGCGGGCGCACUACCGGCCGAUCUUCUCCGCCCUGUCGGCGAGGUCGAGCGAGAGCGUGCAAGUCGGGACCCGAAAGAUGGUGAACUAUGCCUGAGGAGGUUGAAGCCAGAGGAAACUCUGGUGGAGGACCGUAGCGAUUCUGACGUGCAAAUCGAUCGUCAAAUUUGGGUAUAGGGGCGAAAGACUAAUCGAACCGUCUAGUAGCUGGUUCCCUUCGAAGUUUCCCUCAGGAUAGCUGGCGCUCUGUCGCAGUUUUAUCUGGUAAAGCGAAUGAUUAGAGGUCUUGGGGGCGAAACGCCCUCAACCUAUUCUCAAACUUUAAAUUGGUAAGAAGCCCGACUCGCUCGUUUGGAGCCGGGCAUGGAAUGCGAGUGCCAAGUGGGCCACUCUUGGUAAGCAGGACUGGCGAUGCGGGAUGAACCGAACGCCGGGUUAAGGCGCCCGACGCGACGCUCAUCAGAGCCCACAAAGGUGUUGGUUGAUAU
rnacentral:ncRNA from 1 species